UACGUAGGUGGCAAGCGUUGUCCGGAUUUAUUGGGUUUAAAGGGUGCGUAGGCGGCGCCAUAAGUCAGUGCUGAAAUAUCCCGGCUUAACCGGGAGGGUGGCAUUGAUACUGUGGUGCUUGAGUGUAGUCGAGGUAGGCGGAAUUGACGGUGUAGCGGUGAAAUGCUUAGAUAUCGUCAAGAACACCGAUAGUGUAGACAGCUUACUAGGCUACAACUGACGCUGAGGCACGAAAGUGUGGGGAUCAAACAGG
rnacentral:rRNA from 1 species